rnacentral:rRNA from 1 species
UACGAAGGGGGCGAGCGUUGUUCGGAUUUACUGGGCGUAAAGGGCGCGCAGGCGGCGCAUUUUGUCAGGCGUGAAAGCCCCGGGCUUAACCUGGGAACUGCGUUUGAUACGGAUGGGCUAGAGUUCGGGAGAGGAGAGUGGAAUUCCCAGUGUAGAGGUGAAAUUCGUAGAUAUUGGGAAGAACACCAGUGGCGAAGGCGGCUCACUGGUCCGGUACUGACGCUGAGGUGCGAAAGCGUGGGGAGCAAACAGG